UUUCGCGAAAUCUGUGAGAUUUGUGCGCAAUAUGAUGUGGCUCUGUCUCUAGGUGAUGGACUUCGUCCUGGCUCGAU
rnacentral:tRNA from 1 species